rnacentral:rRNA from 1 species
GACGAACGCUGGCGGCGUGCUUAACACAUGCAAGUCGAACGAAGCUAGAUUACGGUUUCUUCGCUGGAGGUAGGAUAUGACUGAGUGGCGGCCGGUUGAGUACCUCGUUAUUAAACUGCCCUACCGUGGGGGAUAGCGUGUUGAUACGAACGGUAAUACUGCAUCAUGUAUUUUAACCGCAUGAGCGAAAUUCCAUAGAUCUAUCGCUGAAGGAUGGACUGGCUUCUGCUUAGGGAGUCGGUGGGGUAUCGGCCUACCAAGCUGACGAUCAGUAGCAGGAGAGAGGGGUCGAUCGGCAACAUUGGGAGGGAGACACGGCUCAGACUCCUACGGGAGGGAGCAGUGGGGAAUAUUGCAAAAUGGGCGCAAGCCUGAUGCGGCAACGGCGCGUGAAGGAAGACGGUUUUCGAAUUGUAAACUUCUGUUCUUAGUGAAGAAUAAUGACGGUAGCUAAGGAGCAAGCCACGGCUAACUACGUG